rnacentral:rRNA from 1 species
CCUACGGGUGGCAGCAGUGAGGAAUAUUGGUCAAUGGACGCAAGUCUGAACCAGCCAUGCCGCGUGCAGGAAGACGGCGCUAUGAGGGGUAAACAGCGUUUGUAGGAGGGUAAACGCAGAUACGCGUACCUGUCUGAAAGUAUCGUACGAACAAGGAUCGGCUAACUCCGUGCCAGCAGCCGCGGUAAUACGGAGGAUUCAAGCGUUAUCCGGAAUUGUUGGGUUUAAAGGGUGCGUAGGCGGUCGGUUAAGUUAGAUGUGAAAUCCCGAGGCUCAACUUCGGAAUUGCCUCUGGUACUGGUCGGCUAGAGGGUAGUUGCGGUAGGCGGAAUGUCUGGUGUAGCGGUGAAAUGCUUAGAGCUCAUGCAGAACACCGAUUGCGAAGGCAGCUUACCAAGCUACAUCUGACGUUGAGGCACGAAAGCGUGGGGAGCAAACAGGAUUAGAUACCCCAGUAGUC